ACGCGGAGGGACAUUACUGAGUUACCGCUCUACAACCCUUUGUGAACAUACCUAACCGUUGCUUCGGCGGGCAGGGGAAGCCUCUCGCGGGCCUCCCCUCCCGGCGCCGGCCCCACCACGGGGACGGGGCGCCCGCCGGAGGAAACCAAACUCUAUUUACACGACGUCUCUUCUGAGUGGCACAAGCAAAUAAUUAAAACUUUUAACAACGGAUCUCUUGGUUCUGGCAUCGAUGAAGAACGCAGCGAAAUGCGAUAAGUAAUGUGAAUUGCAGAAUUCAGUGAAUCAUCGAAUCUUUGAACGCACAUUGCGCUCGCCAGCAUUCUGGCGAGCAUGCCUGUUCGAGCGUCAUUUCAACCCUCAAGCACCGCUUGGUUUUGGGGCCCCACGGCAGACGUGGGCCCUUAAAGGUAGUGGCGGACCCUCCCGGAGCCUCCUUUGCGUAGUAACUAACGUCUCGCACUGGGAUCCGGAGGGACUCUUGCCGUAAAACCCCCAAAUUCUUUACAGGUUGACCUCGGAUCAGGUAGGAAUACCCG
rnacentral:rRNA from 1 species